GCUGUGGUAGCUCAGUGGUAGAGCGCACCCUUGGUAAGGGUGAGGUCGGGAGUUCAAUCCUCCCUCACAGCA
rfam:Pseudopelagicola gijangensis strain DSM 100564 genome assembly, contig: Ga0131178_101